rnacentral:rRNA from 1 species
CGCGUAGGCGGUUUAGUAAGUCUGGUGUGAAAGCCCUCGACUCAAUCGAGGAAGUGCACUGGAUACUGCUAGACUAGAGUAUCGGAGGGGAGAACGGAAUUCCUGGUGUAGAGGUGAAAUUCGUAGAUAUCAGGAGGAACAACGGUGGCGAAGGCGGUUCUCUGGACGAUAACUGACGCUGAGGUGCGAAAGCGUGGGGAGCGAACAGGAUUAGAUACCCUGGUAGUCC